rfam:Myotis lucifugus cont2.55443, whole genome shotgun sequence.
GGCAGUUCUCUGGUGACGCACCCCAGAAUUGGGCUCCCUUCUCUCUGGUUUUGGGGUGCAUCACCCAAGAACCGCC